AUGUUGGAUUCACCUUCGAAUCAGGACUUUGAGGAAUACAGUGGACUUGAAAAGGUUGCUGAGCUUUUGAAGGAUGUUCAAGUUGAAGAACACAUAAGGCAAGUAUAA
rnacentral:rRNA from 1 species